AGCUGAUCUGAAGGUAGUGAAUUAUUUCAAUUGAUUGUUCACAGUCAGUUACAGACGGAACUUCUUUUUCCACUCUCGCUGCUUUCUCACUACUGCAUCUGACUAGUCUUUU
ensembl:misc_RNA Y_RNA Y RNA